GCUCUUUUACCAAGAAAAAACAAAAAACAAAAAGUAACAAGAAGAAGGAAAAGGAGGGCAAGGGCAAGGGGGAGAUCAAUUUUGAUUAACUUUACUCAUUUCAAUUUUUAGGCCUUGUCGCAGUACUCCCAUUGUGAGUCUAGAGGAUUUUGUUAUCUACAUAUUUUGAGAGAAGCCCUCCUCAAAAUUUGUUUUUGACAUGAAAAGCCAAGACCUUUUGUAUGAUAUGAGAGUAGGAACACUUUAUCACUUUUUUUGUAUCAUUAAAAAGAAAAAAAAAUAGUAGUAUCGCUUGUUUGAAAUAUACAUUGAUAAUAGAAUGAAUAAAAAUUAAUAUGUUUACUUUUUAGGUAUAGUUUUUGCUGAAAUCAGGUUGACUGGACUUUACAGUCAUCUAAGGAUGCUUUUUAGUGCUUAAGAGGUUCACCUAUGCUUUUUCAGAAAUAUACGUACUUAAACAUCAACUGGAAAGCCAGUCUUUAAAAAUGUAAUAUUGCAUGGAGGAAUUAUUCAUAGAACUUAUUUCAGAUAUCUCCUGCAUAUGCUCUGUAAUGGGUUCAGUCUUCCUUGAAGGAUCUUAGACUUCAGACAGAACUCCUGCUAUGAAAUCGGCUUCCAUGGAAUGAUUAAGCCUCAUAUAAGUCACUGAAAUAGUGUCGAUAUUUCUAAAACCAGCACGGAAUUGAAGUUUCAUGACUUUUUUUUUUAAAGGAUGCAGAUGUUAAUGCCUGUCCUUGCAGAAACAGAGGAUUAUAGAGAAAAAGAUACUUUAAGAGGAUCGUCACCCAGCAUAUUCUUUUCCCUCUCUACCCGUAGCAACUAACUAGUUCAUUAUUUAGUUAGUUCUUAAACAUUUCCAAUGAAGUCUUCUGAAGAUUGUCAUGGAAACGUUCUUUGGAGCUUAUUUCUAAAAUCAAGUGGAUGCAAAGGGACUUUCUUCUGGACCUCUUGGCCCAUGAGCCUUUCAACUCUUUACUUUCCUGUUAUAUGUAGUUGAAAAAUAACCUUUAUGCAUAUUGAGCCAGGCUAUUACAUUUAUUUUGUGACCAAAUGAAAUAAAAUGUUUAUACUUAUAAUGCAUUAAUUAAUCUUUCUCCAAUUUUCAAUUCCACAGUGAUAUACUUUCAUUUCCUCUUUAUUAGAAAGGUAUAACAGGAAGAGCUAAGGAUUUUAGCAAUCUUGUAAAGUCUGAUACAAACCUAAUGGUAUAAUCAGACAUACAUUUAGUUGUGCAAAAAUGUGUUACUCAAGAUGCUUCCCCUAGUCCCGUGCACCAGCCCUACCAAACCGGCUGGGCAGCCUGGCUCCCCUCUCCAGCGUGGAAGGGUAGCCAGACUGCCCUGAGGAGGCAGGGAGGGGAAGGCUGGGCCUGCCAGCUGGCGGGCAGGUCACUAUGGUGAACUUCUGCGCUGCCCUCACCUGCACGCGAAGGAGCUCCCAGUCCAACCUAGCUUUCUUCAGGUUCCCCAGGGACCUGGCCAGAUGCCACGAGUGGGUGGAGAAUUGUAGGAGAGCAGACUUAGAAGAUAAGACACCUGAUUAGCUAAAUAAACAUUAUUGAUUAUGUGCCAAACAUUUUGAGACCUCUGUGAUCUGUAGAACUAUACAUUUUAGUCCUUAUUGGACAGUUCUUCAAGGUAGUGCAAUACCAACAAUAUGUGAUCUUGCCAGUCAUUCGGACAACCCACAUAAUAGACAAGGAAAGUGAAUAAAAGAACUGAGUGAACUCGAAAUCAGGACUCUGAAACAGAAAAAAACUGAUGAAACUUCUGAACAGGAACAAAAACAUAAAGAAACCAACAAUAGCAAUGCUCAAAACGCCAGUGAAGAAGUGGAUGAAGGGCAAGAUGAGACAUUUUACCUCUAACCCUUGAAGAGACGGAAAACAAAGAAUACCUAAAAUCUCUAUUUGAAAUCUUGGUUCUUAUGGGAAAGCAAAACAUACUUUUGAAUGGACAUGAGGCUAAUGAAAUCCCAGAAGGUCUCUUUACUCCAGAUAACUUUCAUGCACUGCUGGAGUGCCGGAUAAAUUCUGGUGAAGGAUCCUGAGAAAGUGCUUUGAGACAACAGCAGUUAACAAGUUUUGUUCAAAAACACAGGAGAGGCAGAUGCUAGAAAUCUGUGAGAGCUGUAUUUGAGAAGAAACUCUCAGGGAAGUGAGAGACUCACCCUUCUUUUCCAUUAUCACUGACGAUGUAGUGGACCUAGCAGGGGAAGGGCACCUGCCUGUGUUGGUGAGGUUUGUCAAAGAAUCUCAUAACCUAAGAGAGGAAUUUGUAAGCUUCCUGCCUUAUGAAGCUGAUGCAGAAAUUUUGGCUGUGAAAUUUCACACUGCGAUAACUGAGAAGUGGGGGUUAAAUAUGAGUAUUGUGGCCAGGCUUAUGUUGUGUCUAGUGGAUUUUCUUCCAAAAUGAAAGUUGUUGCUUCUGGCCUUUAGAGAAAUAUCUCUAAGCUAUCUUCACAGUCUGCUCUUCUGUGCUUUAAAUAUGUGGUUGGUAAAAUCAGUACCUGUUAUGGGAGUAUCUGUUGCAUUAGGAACAAUUGAGAAAGUUUUUCCUUUUUCCCAUCAAUCACCACAACUGCUUUUAGAACUUGACAAUGUCGUUUCUGUUCUUCUUUCAGAAAAGUAAAGAAAGGGGUGAAGAACUGAGGGAAAUCUGCCAUUCUCAGUGGACAGGCAGGGAUGAUGCUUUUGAAAUUUUGGUAGAACUCCUGCGAGCAAUUGUUUUAUGUUUAAAUGGUAUCAAUAGUGACAUAAAUAUUAGAUGGAAUAACUGUAUAAUUGGCCAAGGAUUUGUACUCUGCAGUGCAGUAGCACAUUUUGAUUUCAUUGUUACUAUUGUUCUUAAAAAUGUCCGAUCUUUUACAAGAGCCUUUGGGAAAAAUCUCCAGGGGCAAACCUCUGAUGUCUUCCUUGCAGCCUGUAGCUUGACUGCACUACUGCAUUCUCUCAAUGAUGUGAUGGAAAAUAUUGAAGUUUAUCAUGAACUUUGGUUUAAAGAAGCCACAAAUUUGGCAACCAAAUUUGAUAUUCAAAUGCAACUCCCUGGGAAAUUCCACCAUGCUACCAGGGUAACUUGGAAUCUCAGCUAACCUCUGAGAGUUACUAUAAAAGAAACCCUAAGUGUCCCAACAAUGGAGCACAUUAUUCAAGAACUUAAAGAUACAUUCUCAGAACAGCACCUCACAGCUCUUACUUUCAGGCAUGGGACAACUCAAAUUCAAUACGCUGGAGAAACACCAUGCUGAUGUGUACAGAAGUGACUUACCCAAUCCUACCAUGCCCUCAGCCAAGUUUUGUUGUUGGAGAAUCAAAUGGAAACGCAGAGAGAAAGAUAUAGAGCUUCUAUCCACCAUCUGUGAAGCCCUCCACCUGCCUGACGUCAAGUUUUUUCCUAAUGUGCCUGCAUUGCUGAAGGUCCUGUGUAUUAUUCCUGUGAUGAAGGUUGAGAAUGAGAGGUAUGGAAAUGGUUGAAAGCGUCCUAAAGCAUAUGUGAGGAACGCUGUGGCAGACCAAAGGUCGAGUAACUUGGCUUUGCUUAACAUAAAUUUUUAUAUAAACCCCGACUUGUAUUUAAUGGUGGACCCAUAUAUUAAGCUUUAUACAAGUAAGUAAGAGCUUCCCACAGAUAAUUCAGAAACCAUGGAAAAUACCUAAGAGACUUAUAAAAAUAGGCUUUCUUAUAUUUGAUAUUUGGAAGAAAAACCGUAAAGUGUAUGUAGGCCACUUAAUCACUAAAUAUCUUUGCCUACAGGACUCCAUUAAAACAUUAGUCAUUGAUAAUCUACCUGUUUAAAUGGCCUCUGUUUGAACUCUCAUGCUUUGAAGACCUAUCUGUCUUCAAAGAGAACAAACCAUGUUUCCUUCUGUGUGAUCUCUGCUGGUGACACUCUGGAAUUGUUUCAGUUAAGUCAUUUUAGACACAGCCUUUAUUAUCCCUGUGGAUGUCUACUUGUUGGGUAAUAUGAAUUCUUUGAAGAAAUAUAUUUUGAAGAGGUGUAGGAGGAAGGAAUACGUUUUAUAAAAUGUUAUAGUGAAGCCCACACUUGACCUUUGACUAAUAGGAGUUUUAAGCAGGUUAAAAAUCUAUACUGGGCAGUUACAAGAAAUUACUGGAGAACAGCUUGUGAGCUUGCCAAACAAGGAUUUCAGUGUAGAUUUUGUCUUUCUCAAAUGAAUAUAAAGGAACAAAUGACAGUUAGCGUUUGACUGGAAGAGCCUGCCGUUGUUCCACGUCUUGUUGCUGUUCACAUUCCUUUGUGGAGCCCACAUCUUCCUAAGCUUUUUAGCAGGUAUAUGUUGAACACUUCUGUUUCAUGGUUAAGGCGGAAUCAGAGGCCAUGGAUACUGACAACUGAUUUGUCUAGUUUUAUUUUUUUCUUUUUCCAUGACUCUUUUCUACUGCCUCAUCUUGAUUUUUAAGCAGAACCUGGAAAACCUACAAAAAUAAGUUUUGUUGUUUAUUUAGAAAAAUAUGGAAAAUAUUGCUGUUAUUUUUGGUGAAGAAAAUCAAUUUUGUAUAGUUUAUUUCAAUCUAAAUAAAAUGUGAAUUUUGUUUAA